rnacentral:rRNA from 1 species
AACGAACGCUGGCGGCAGGCCUAACACAUGCAAGUCGAGCGCGCCCUUCAGGGUGAGCGGCGGACGGGUGAGUAACGCGUGGGAACGUGCCCUUCUCUGCGGAAUAGCCUCGGGAAACUGAGAGUAAUACCGCAUACGCCCUUUGGGGGAAAGAUUUAUCGGAGAAGGAUCGGCCCGCGUUGGAUUAGGUAGUUGGUGGGGUAAUGGCCCACCAAGCCGACGAUCCAUAGCUGGUUUGAGAGGAUGAUCAGCCACACUGGGACUGAGACACGGCCCAGACUCCUACGGGAGGCAGCAGUGGGGAAUCUUAGACAAUGGGGGCAACCCUGAUCUAGCCAUGCCGCGUGAGUGAUGAAGGCCUUAGGGUUGUAAAGCUCUUUCAGCUGGGAAGAUAAUGACGGUACCAACAGAAGAAGCCCCGGCUAACUCCGUG